rnacentral:lncRNA from 1 species
UGAUGCAGGAUGCUUGGGUAUCCAAUCUCCCCCUCUCACAUUGGCCCAGUUACGUCAGUAUGGGGGUGGAUGAUGGCUUGUGGGUUGUGAGCUUAUCACUGAUAACGAUAGGGAUUGCAGGUCCCAGGAUGUCAUCCACCUCUUUGGCGGUCAGUUUGCUGAUAAGAUCCUUACUAUCCCUAUUUCUAUCCAUCGAAAUCAUGAUUUAAGGUGUGGGGACAGUCAUGUUGCCCCAAAGCCCUGCCAGAGAUCUUGCUAUGAUGUACAGGCCAGCACCAGUGCGAAGGAUGGAGGCUGCUUGGAUCUAGACAGUGACGAUCUAUCUCAGGAUCAGACUCUUUCUCUGAAAGGUCACCUA